rnacentral:ncRNA from 1 species
ACCCUUAAAAUAUAGAAGUGCACUACAAAGUCCUCCCUUUCCUUUUGGUCCAAAACUUUGCAAGUUCGUCAUGUACAUAUGGGGGAUUGAACUAAUAGGGCUAAGGCACGGUCUAUGGUCCUACAGGAAGCAGCAGGGAGGAAUUUUCCACAAUGGGCGAAAGCCUAACAAUCAAUCUUGUGUGAAGGUAGAAGUUCCACGGGUUGUGAACUUCUUUUUCCAAAGAAGAAGCAAUGAUUAUAUCUAAGGAAUAAGCAUCAGCUAACUUUGUGCUAGUAGCUGCGGUAAGACAAAGGAUGCAAGUGUUGUUCGGAAUGAUCGGGCGUAAAGCGUCUAUAAAUGGCUUUUCAAGUCUGACGUCAAAUCCCAAGGCUCAACCUUGGACAGGCGGUGGAAACUACAAAGCUGGAGUAUAGUAGGGGCAGAAAGAGUUUCUGAUGGAGCGAUAAAAUGUGUAAACAUUGGAAAGAACACCAAAGGCGAAAGCAUUUUGUUGGGUCGACAUUGACUCUAAGAGACGAAAGGUGCUAGAAUCCAUAGCUCCAUUUUCGUGCAACUUCCCAUUGAUUGAUUUAUUUUUUU